rnacentral:ncRNA from 1 species
UAACACUAGGGGCGCCAUUCGGCUGAGAAGUACCCUUUGAACCUGAUUUAGUUCGUACUAACGUAGGGAAGUGUACAAUG